rnacentral:lncRNA from 1 species
UGGGCACCCCCAGUCUUUCCAUCCUCCUCAUUCGUCUAGGGGCACCCGAAUCCCCUAUUCCUUAUUUCCCCUAUCACUCAGGCACUGGCAGGGUCCUUUGCCCACUCCUGUUGGCCGCUGCGGCUCCAAAGCGAGAUGUGCCUGAGACAGGUUUGACCAGGCAACUGAAAAGACAUCCCUAAGAGAAGACAAAGCAAAGGUAUGAAAGGAACACACGUCCCUGACUGACUAGGAGGAACAGAGCUGCCUGCUAUCUGGAACAACUUCCUCCCAGACUAAGUGAGAAAUAAACUUCUGUUUUCUAUAUGC